rnacentral:rRNA from 1 species
GACGAACGCUGGCGGCGUGCUUAACACAUGCAAGUCGAACGGAAAGGCCCUGCUUGCAGGGUACUCGAGUGGCGAACGGGUGAGUAACACGUGGGUGAUCUGCCCUGCACUUCGGGAUAAGCCUGGGAAACUGGGUCUAAUACCGGAUAGGAGCCAUUUUUAGUGUGAUGGUUGGAAAGUUUUUUCGGUGUAGGAUGAGCUCGCGGCCUAUCAGCUUGUUGGUGGGGUAAUGGCCUACCAAGGCGGCGACGGGUAGCCGGCCCGAGAGGGUGGACGGCCAAAUGGGGAGGGUGAUACGGCCCGGACCCCUACGGGAGGAUGAGGUGGGGAAUAUUGCCAAAAGGGGGAAAGCCGGGUGCAGGAAGGCCGCGUGGGGGGUUGUGGCCUGCGGGUUGAAAACUCCUUUCCCUAGGGAGGAAGCUUUUUGGAACGGUACCUAAAAAAAAAGCACGGGUAAACUCGGU